rnacentral:rRNA from 1 species
CGUCAAAUCAUCAUGCCCCUUAUGUCCUGGGCUACACACGUACUACAAUGGCCGCUAACAACGGGAUGCAAUGGCGCAAGCCGGAGCCAAACCUCAAAAGCGGUCUCAGUUCAGAUUGCAGGCUGCAAUUCGCCUGCAUGAAGUCGGAAUUGCUAGUAAUCGCGGAUCAGCAUGCCGCGGUGAAUACGUUCCCGGGCCUU